rnacentral:rRNA from 1 species
UACGUAGGUGGCAAGCGUUUGUCCGGAAUUAUUGGGCGUAAAGCGCGCGCAGGUGGUUCUUUUAAGUCUGAUGUGAAAGCCCACGGCUCAACCGUGGAGGGUCAUUGGAAACUGGGGAACUUGAGUGCAGAAGAGGAAAGUGGAAUUCCACGUGUAGCGGUGAAAUGCGUAGAGAUGUGGAGGAACACCAGUGGCGAAGGCGACUUUCUGGUCUGUAACUGACACUGAGGCGCGAAAGCGUGGGGAGCGAACAGG